GAGGUUAUGUUUCGUUGUUUACAUUCAAGAAAUUGUUUUGUUGUAAAAAUAUCAGCUAAAAUAGCCGUUUUCAGAAUUAUUAGUGAUAUUUAUUAAAAUAUUUGUGGUAAAAAGUUAUCACAGGGCAAGAUUUAGUUAAAAACGACUGAAAUCAAGUGCCCUGUGAUGUGUGUAAAAGUGUUUUGAUGAUGAUUUCUGGGCAGAGUUUUUGAACAAAAAUCACCAGAAUACAUCAAUAAAGUACGUCCGCGAAACAAACAAAAAGAGUAUUAAGUGAAAGUAUACUAUUUGAAAGCUCCUGGACAUAUUGUUGGUUAAUUUUGAGUGCUCAUCCGAGUGCAAAUACAGUCCGGAGAGCUUCAAAUUUGAUACUGAAAUGAGCUUCCGGAAGGAGUUUUUAUAAAGAGCCAGAGACGGAGGAAAUUUCAGAUAGGCCACAGAAGAUGUUCCCAUUAAAUUAACAAGACAGGAAAGAAGUAACGAUGACUCUGGUUUAGUCGCGUUAGUACCACAGGAGUCGAAAUCAUCGUCGCCGUUGAAGACGUCCGGAAGGAGGAAAUUCAGCACAGAAGUGUCUGAAUUCGUGGAAAUUAUUCUGCAGGGAUAUUCCGGUGAGAAGGAGGCGACUGAUUGUCUUCAAUUUUUGGAGGAUUUUGGAAAAUUUGUACCCUCCACUCUUAAUUACGUAAGCGUCAUGAAACGUGGUGUAUUUCUUGUUGGACUUCUCACUCGAAGAGACUUCUCAUGGAUGUACAUCUCGUAGAACAGAACCUCCAAGAUAAAAGUUUGACGAAUGUCUUAUGGAUUUGAUUAGAUCAGCAUUAAUUCUGGCUAAGAUGGUAAACAGUAUCUUUGAGGUCAUACUAUAGUUUGCCUCCCCGGUUGGGCUGCUGCCUUAUCUAAUGGCCUGUACAGACAAAUGAAGGAUCGCAGUAUUUCCUGUGAGUUUUUGAUUUUGGGAUUAAGUAUAAUUCCUCUGCACUCACCCCGCAAUACAAAAUGCAUCACAUAUACUAGUAUCCCGAA